rnacentral:rRNA from 1 species
UACGGAGGGGGCGAGCGUUAUUCGGAAUUAUUGGGCGUAAAGGGCGCGUAGGCGGCUUGAUGUGUCAAAGGUGAAAUCCCUCGGCUCAACUGAGGAACUGCCUUUGAAACUGUCUGGCUUGAGGCCGGGAGAGGGUAGCGGAAUUCCCAGUGUAGCGGUGAAAUGCGUAGAUACUGGGAGGAACACCAGUGGCGAAGGCGGCUCACUGGCCCGGUACUGACGCUGAGGUGCGAAAGCGUGGGGAGCAAACAGG